rnacentral:pre_miRNA from 1 species
AGGGGGAUAGCUGGGUCAAAUGGUGGUUCCAUUCCAAGUUUCUGAGGAAUCUCCAUACUGCUUUCCAGAGUGGUUACACUAAUUUGCAGUCCCACCAGCAGU